UACGGGGGGGGGCAAGCGUUGUUCGGAAUUACUGGGCGUAAAGGGCGAGUAGGCGGCCUUCUAAGUCAGACGUGAAAUCCCCCGGCUUAACCUGGGAACUGCGUCUGAUACUGGGAGGCUUGAGUAUGGGAGAGGGAUGUAGAAUUCCAGGUGUAGCGGUGAAAUGCGUAGAUAUCUGGAGGAAUACCGGUGGCGAAGGCGGCAUCCUGGACCAUUACUGACGCUGAAUCGCGAAAGCUAGGGGAGCAAACGGG
rnacentral:rRNA from 1 species